rnacentral:rRNA from 1 species
CCUACGGGAGGCAGCAGUCGGGAAUAUUGGGCAAUGGGCGCAAGCCUGACCCAGCAACGCCGCGUGAAGGAAGAAGGCUUUCGGGUUGUAAACUUCUUUUCUCAGGGACGAAGAAAGUGAAGGUACCAGAGGAAUAAGCCACGGCUAACUACGUGCCAGCAGCCGCGGUAAUACGUAGGUGGCAAGCGGUAUCCGGAUUUAUUGGGGGUAAAGGGCGUGUAGGCGGGGGCGCAAGUCAGAUGUGAAAAGUAAGGGCUCAACCCUUAGCCUGCAUUUGAAACUGUGUUUCUUGAGUGCUGGAGAGGCAAUCGGAAUUCCGGGUGUAGCAGUGAAAUGCGUAGAUAUACGGAGGAACACCAGUGGCGAAGGCGGGUUGCUGGACAUUAACUGACGCUGAGGCGCGAAAGCGUGGGGAGCAAACAGGAUUAGAUACCCCAGUAGUC